rnacentral:rRNA from 1 species
CCUACGGGUGGCAGCAGUGAGGAAUAUUGGUCAAUGGGCGGGAGCCUGAACCAGCCAAGUCGCGUGAAGGAAGAAGGUACUUAGUAUUGUAAACUUCUUUUGUCGGGGAACAAAGGCGGAGACGCGUCUCCGGAUGAGUGUACCCGAAGAAAAAGCAUCGGCUAACUCCGUGCCAGCAGCCGCGGUAAUACGGAGGAUGCGAGCGUUAUCCGAAUUUGUUGGGUUUAAAGGGUGCGCAGGCGGGAGAUCAAGUCAGCGGUAAAAUGUCGGGGCUCAACCCCGGACGGCGGUUGAAACUGGUUUUCUAGAGUAGGAGAGAGGUAUGCGGAAUUCGUGGUGUAGCGGUGAAAUGCAUAGAUAUCGCGCAGAACCCCGAUUGCGAAGGCAGCGUGCCGUGCCGCCACUGACGCUGAGGCACGAAAGCGCGGGGAUCGAACAGGAUUAGAUACCCGGGUAGUC